rnacentral:lncRNA from 1 species
AGCAGAGCUGUGCUCGUCACCGCGCUCCCCUCCCGGUGCCACCAGCAAUGAGCACAGAGCCCAGGCGUUCCUGGCCACUGGCGUAGCAUGCAGGUGACAGCCCCGUGGGGACAUUAAACCCACCUGCCCGAAUUAUUUGGCUUUGACAAAAUGAGAAGGGCUGGGAAACGGGGACCUGACCGCGGGAAGCACAAAGUGGGAGUGGAUGUUCCCCAAACCCGGGCCAUUUUUAGGAGCACGCAUGUGCCAAUGGUGUGGGUUUCUGUGUGCGUGUGGAUAUGGAUGCUGACAAAGCCACAAAUGCAUUCACUAGGAAAAUUAAAAAAUUAACAGGCAUCGGCUCGCUCUAGAUUAGUAAAGGCAGCGAGAUAAAAGCGACUCUUUAUACCUUGUGAGAAUUGCUGAUAAGGGCAUUUGUUCCUCCGUAUUCUUUAAAAAGAAUGCAAUCAAAAUUUAAAGCAGGGCAGGAGAAAGGAGAUGGGAGGAGAAAGUGCUGGGAGGUGGUGGGCUGCACUGACGUGGUGGGCGUUGCUGAUGUGCUGGGUGCCACCAAUGUGAUGUGGGUGCCACCAAUGUGAUGGUACAACCAAUGUGUUGGGUACCACCAAGGUGAUGGGUACCCCCAGUAUGACAUGGGGACCAUCAAUGUGGUGGUACCACUGAUGUGAUGGAUACCACGAAUAUAUGACAUGGGGACCACCAGUGUGAUAUGGGGACCACCAAUGUGGUGGUACCACUGAUGUGAUGGAUACCACCAAUGUGAUGAGCGCUACCAACAUGAUAUGGGGGACCACCAUUGGAUGGGCACCACUGAUGCAUUGGGUACCCCCAGUGUGAUAUGGAGACCACCAAUAUGAUAUGGGGACCACCAAUGUGAUGGUACCGCCAAUGUGUUGGGUACCACCGAUGUGAUGGGCACUACCAGUAUGAUAUGGAGACCACCAGUAUGAUAUAGGGACCACCAAUGUGAUGGUACCACCAAUGUGUUGGGUACCACCGAUGUGAUGGGCACUACCAGUAUGAUAUGGAGACCACCAAUAUGAUAUGGGGACCACCAAUGUGAUGGUACCACCAAUGUGUUGGGUACCACCGAUGUGAUGGGCACUACCAGUAUGAUAUGGGGACCACGGACGUAAUGGGCAUCACUGAUGUGAUGGGUACCCCCGGUAUGAUAUGGGGACCACCAAUAUGAUAUGGGGACCACCAAUGUGAUAACAGAGACCACCAAUGUGUUGGGUACCA